rnacentral:rRNA from 1 species
CGUGACUAAUACCGCAUGUCAUUACCGGAGGGCAUCCUCCGGUAAGAAAAGGAGCAAUCCGGUAUGAGAUGGGCCCGCAUCUGAUUAGCUAGUUGGUGAGAUAACAGCCCACCAAGGCGACGAUCAGUAGCCGACCUGAGAGGGUGAUCGGCCACAUUGGGACUGAGACACGGCCCAAACUCCUACGGGAGGCAGCAGUGGGGAAUAUUGCACAAUGGGGGAAACCCUGAUGCAGCAACGCCGCGUGAAGGAAGACGGUUUUCGGAUUGUAAACUUCUAUCAAUAGGGACGAAGAAAGUGACGGUACCUAAAUAAGAAGCCCCGGCUAACUACGUGCCAGCAGCCGCGGUAAUACGUAGGGGGCAAGCGUUAUCCGGAAUUACUGGGUGUAAAGGGUGAGUAGGCGGCACGGCAAGUAAGAUGUGAAAGCCCGAGGCUUAACCUCGGGAUUGCAUUUUAAACUGCUGAGCUAGAGUACAGGAGAGGAAAGCGGAAUUCCUAGUGUAGCGGUGAAAUGCGUAGAUAUUAGGAAGAACACCAGUGGCGAAGGCGGCUUUCUGGACUGAAACUGACGCUGAGGCACGAAAGCGUGGGGAGCAAACAGGAUUAGAUACCCUGGUAGUCCACGCCGUAAACGAUGAGUGCUAGGUGUCGGAGGGGAACCUUCGGUGCCGCAGCAAACGCAAUAAGCACUCCACCUGGGGAGUACGAUCGCAAGAUUGAAACUCAAAGGAAUUGACGGGGGCCCGCACAA